UACGAAGGGGGCUAGCGUUGUUCGGAAUCACUGGGCGUAAAGCGCACGUAGGCGGAUCGUUAAGUCGGGGGUGAAAUCCCAGGGCUCAACCCUGGAACUGCCUUCGAUACUGGACGGCUGGAGACCGGAAGAGGUCAGUGGAACUGCGAGUGUAGAGGUGAAAUUCGUAGAUAUUCGCAAGAACACCAGUGGCGAAGGCGGCUGACUGGUCCGGUUCUGACGCUGAGGCGCGAAAGCGUGGGGAGCAAACAGG
rnacentral:rRNA from 1 species